rnacentral:rRNA from 1 species
ACUGCUAUCGGAGUUUGACUAAGCCAUGCAAGUCUAACCUUCGGACUUCCGGGGGUGGCAAAGGGCUGAGUAACACGUAGUCAAUCUACCCUGGAGAAGGAGAUAACCUCGAGAAAUUGAGGACAAUAUCCUAUAUUCCACCUAUGCUGGAAUGCUUGGUGGUUUAAACGGGCUGUGAAUUGGAACAGUUCCGCUCCAGGACGAGACUGCGCGGGAUUAUGGUUGUUGGUAGGGUAACGGCUUACCAAGCCUAUAAUCUCUAGGGGCCAUGAGAGUGGUGGCCCCCAGAAGGGCACUGAGACAAGGGCCCUAGCCCUACGGGGUGCAGCAGGCGCGAAACCUCUACAAUGCUCGAAAGAGUGAUAGGGGAACUCCGAGUGGCGUAAGCUAAGCUUGCGUCUUUUGCCAAGUGUAAAUAGCUUGGAGAAUAAGGGUGUGGGCAAGACUGGUGGCAGCCGCCACGGUAAAACCAGCGCCUCAAGUGGUAUCCACGAAUACUGGGCCUAGAGCGUUCGUAGCCGGCCAGGUAAGUCUUCUGUGAAAUAGUGUAGCUUAACUACACUGCGUGCAGGAGAUACUGCUUGGCUUGGGAACGGGGGAGGUCAGGAGUACGCCCGGGGUAGGGGUAAAAUCCGUUGAGCCUGGGCGGACUACCAGUGGCGAAGGCGCCUGACCAAAACGUGUCCGACGG